GUGCUCACUUCAUCAGCACAUGUACUAAAACUGAAAUGAUACUGAGAAGCUUUGCAUGUCCCUGCACAAGGAUGACACACAGUGCUUGAUAUAGUUUAGUUUUUUUU